rnacentral:snRNA from 1 species
GUGCUGUGUGUUCAGCUCAGAGCGAACCAUUCUUUCGCCUUUCACUAAAGAGUAUCGUGUGCGGGGUACAAGCUGCUUAUCUCAAUGUUUGGAGAGGUUCCUGAAGGAGCAC